GAUGAACGCUGGCGGCGUGCCUAAUACAUGCAAGUCGAGCGAACAGACGAGGAGCUUGCUCCUCUGACGUUAGCGGCGGACGGGUGAGUAACACGUGGAUAACCUAUCUAUAAGACUGGGAUAACUUCGGGAAACCGGAGCUAAUACCGGAUAAUAUAUUGAACCGCAUGGUUCAAUAGUGAAAGACGGUUUUGCUGUCACUUAUAGAUGGAUCCGCGCCGCAUUAGCUAGUUGGUAAGGUAACGGCUUACCAAGGCAACGAUGCGUAGCCGACCUGAGAGGGUGAUCGGCCACACUGGAACUGAGACACGGUCCAGACUCCUACGGGAGGCAGCAGUAGGGAAUCUUCCGCAAUGGGCGAAAGCCUGACGGAGCAACGCUGCGUGAGUGAUGAAGGUCUUCGGAUCGUAAAACUCUGUUAUUAGGGAAGAACAAAUGUGUAAGUAACUAUGCACGUCUUGACGGUACCUAAUCAGAAAGCCACGGCUAACUACGUG
rnacentral:rRNA from 1 species